UUACUCUCUAAAAGCACACGAAUAAUACUCACAACUGUUUUCGACAUUUCUCCUACUUGUAAUUGACACGAUUCUGUUAAAAAUGUACUUUAUCGACAUGGUGUAGUCUUCGGAAAAAGUCCGUAGAGGUAACUUAGCAAGGCUAAAGAGGUAGCAGCUAACGUUAGCAAGGCUAACUAACAUCCACGUUAACUCGGUUGAACUUUUAUUUAUUAAAGUUUCUUUUAAUCACCUAUUAUGUGUAAAUGAGAGGUUUUGUAAGGGUUUUACAGUGAGCUAAUUUAUUUAACGUAAACGUAACGUAUCGGUGAUGUUUCAGGACUUUCAGGAGCAAUUGGCCGAAACUAACGUUAGCUCAAUGGUAACGUUAAACACAUUUUGAUUAAAUGUUCUGUGAUUUCAGUAGUAACGAAAUAACCCAUAACAGAGAGAAAGCUCCUACUUCAACAUUUCUGAAGAAAGCUGCUGCCGGAGAAGUAACGUUAGGACACAGAACAAGUUUGUGACUGACUUAAUGAACCCAGUUGGUUUGGAUCAUGCUCAGAGAUGUAAGGGUUACAAAAAGUUAACCAGAACUCUUAUGAACUCCAUCUUGUCUUUCAAAGAGAUGGCAACAUGAACGGGAAAAAAGGGGUUGUUGGUGAAAAAAGAGCCUUGACCUACAAAAGGUGCAGCUAAUAAUUGACUAUGUCAAAAAGAGGCACCCAGGCAUCGGAGGCACUGAGAUCAAGGUCUGCAUGGCACAAAAGUUAAGAGAUCUGAGGAGACGAGCAGAAAGAUGACUGUGGUGAAGAUGGAUGAAGAUGGAUGAGGCUUUCAAGUGCAGGAUCUACAAUUGUUUUCGUUUCACCUUUUUGUUUUGCCUGUUUUGAAUGUGAUGCACAGCCUAGGCCUAUAUAAUUGUGUUUUUUUGUCUGUUUUUAAUCAACAAUUAAACAAUG